CUUGGUCAUUUAGAGGAAGUAAAAGUCGUAACAAGGUCUCCGUAGGUGAACCUGCGGAAGGAUCAUUACAUAUCAUCCAGUGUGGUCGCGGCCUCCGGGUUCUUCCCGGGCGGUAGGAGGUAACACUCUUCACGCGCCACGCGUUUGAAUCCUUUUUUUACGAGCACCAUUCGUUCUCCUUCGGUGGGGCAACCUGCCGUUGGAACCAUACAAAACCUUUUUUGCAUCUAGCAUUACCUGUUCCGAUAACAAACAAUCGUUACAACUUUCAACAAUGGAUCUCUUGGCUCUGGCAUCGAUGAAGAACGCAGCGAAAUGCGAUAAGUAAUGUGAAUUGCAGAAUUCAGUGAAUCAUCGAAUCUUUGAACGCACAUUGCGCCCCUUGGUAUUCCGGGGGGCAUGCCUGUUCGAGCGUCAUUGUCACCCUCAAGCUCGGCUUGGUAUUGGGCGUUCGCCGCCAGGCGCGCCCGUAAUCUAGUGGCGGUCCGGAGCACCCUCAAGCGUAGUAGUAAUUCCCGCUUCGAGGGGUCGCCUGUGAUCCAGCCAGCAACCUUCGGGGGCUCCGCCUUCGGCCUUUCAAUGAUUGACCUCGGAUCAGGUAGGGAUACCCGCUGAACUUAAGCAUAUCAAUAAGCGGAGGA
rnacentral:rRNA from 1 species